rnacentral:lncRNA from 1 species
CUAAAUUCCUGCUAACAACCCUAAUUUAUUCAGAAUCGCCUUUUAAUAUAAAGAGCAUCCAUCAAUCCUGGAAUUGCUCAGGCUGGGUUCAGGUCUCAAUUCUGACAUUUAUUAGGGUCAGGCGACUCUGGGCAAAUGAAUGAGGACUUCUGGAUGUGACUCCUUUCACCGUGAGGAUGAGAAUGAUACCCUUAAAGCAGGAAACUGACAAGGGCUCGCCUGUACAGGGCCAAGGUCACAGCCGGCACGCGGUAGGGAUCAGUAUACAGCGGUUCCCUUCCAACACCGGAUCUUCUCCGUCGUAGACUGCCUGCCUCUGUCCUGUACCCCACCUCGGGUGGGCGCCUCUGAGGGCAGUGGAGGACCGUGCCGUGUCCGCUGAGGAGGAAGCUGAUGGGCCGCAGAGUGGGGCGUCUGGAGAGAUGGAGAAAGCAGGACGCCCCGCAAAAGCAGAGAUCCCAGAAAACUCAAAGGUUCACAAUGAGCAAGGCAAAAAAAAAUGCUGGGGAAUUUGAGCUGUGGCCCUCAAAACAAAGCCGCCAGGCUCAGCCUCUUUACCCUGGUGCUUUUCUACUCUGCGGCGUUUCUGAACUUCGGUGCCAUUGACCCGCGGGAGCUUCUGUUUCCUCAACCCGCAGAACCAGGCCAGCCCUGCACACCCACCCCGAGGGCUCCUGGCUUCUGAGGGACAGGGGAGAAACUGAAGCAAGCAAGCGGCUCAGAGCGCAGCCCAGCUGCAGAUUCCUUCCCUUCUACGCAUGUUCUGUGUUACACACUCGGCUGUCUUUGGCACAGGAAGUGCACACACAUUCCCAGGGGCCAAGGGUCGUGCAGAUGACACACUUUCCACAAGGCCUAGAGGAAUCCUGCUGGGGACAGACCUGAAAUCCCAGCGUGUAACCAAGCUGGGGCCUUCCUGCCAACUGGAUUCUUUGAUUUCUGAAGUCAGCUCAGCCACAGAAAUAAUGAGCAACACUAUUCACUGA